rnacentral:rRNA from 1 species
UCAAGUGAAGAAGCGCAUACGGUGGAUGCCUUGGCAGUCAGAGGCGAUGAAAGACGUGGUAGCCUGCGAAAAGCUUCGGGGAGUCGGCAAACAGACUUUGAUCCGGAGAUCUCUGAAUGGGGGAACCCACCUAGGAUAACCUAGGUAUCUUGUACUGAAUCCAUAGGUGCAAGAGGCGAACCAGGGGAACUGAAACAUCUAAGUACCCUGAGGAAAAGAAAUCAACCGAGAUUCCCUUAGUAGUGGCGAGCGAACGGGGAUUAGCCCUUAAGCUUCAUUGAUUUUAGCGGAACGCUCUGGAAAGUGCGGCCAUAGUGGGUGAUAGCCCCGUACGCGAAAGGAUCUUUGAAGUGAAAUCGAGUAGGACGGAGCACGAGAAACUUUGUCUGAACAUGGGGGGACCAUCCUCCAAGGCUAAAUACUACUGACUGACCGAUAGUGAACCAGUACCGUGAGGGAAAGGCGAAAAGAACCCCGGAGAGGGGAGUGAAAUAGAACCUGAACCGUAUGCGUACAAGCAGUGGGAGCCUACUUGUUAGGUGACUGCGUACCUUUUGUAUAAUGGGUCAGCGACUUAUAUUCAGUGGCAAGCUUAACCGUAUAGGGUAGGCGUAGCGAAAGCGAGUCUUAAUAGGGCGUUUAGUCGCUGGGUAUAGACCCGAAACCGGGCGAUCUAUCCAUGAGCAGGUUGAAGGUUAGGUAACACUGACUGGAGGACCGAACCCACUCCCGUUGAAAAGGUAGGGGAUGACUUGUGGAUCGGAGUGAAAGGCUAAUCAAGCUCGGAGAUAGCUGGUUCUCCUCGAAAGCUAUUUAGGUAGCGCCUCAUGUAUCACUCUGGGGGGUAGAGCACUGUUUCGGCUAGGGGGUCAUCCCGACUUACCAAACCGAUGCAAACUCCGAAUACCCAGAAGUGCCGAGCAUGGGAGACACACGGCGGGUGCUAACGUCCGUCGUGAAAAGGGAAACAACCCAGACCGCCAGCUAAGGUCCCAAAGUUGUGGUUAAGUGGUAAACGAUGUGGGAAGGCUUAGACAGCUAGGAGGUUGGCUUAGAAGCAGCCAUCCUUUAAAGAAAGCGUAAUAGCUCACUAGUCGAGUCGGCCUGCGCGGAAGAUGUAACGGGGCUCAAACCACACACCGAAGCUGCGGGUGUCACGUAAGUGACGCGGUAGAGGAGCGUUCUGUAAGCCUGUGAAGGUGAGUUGAGAAGCUUGCUGGAGGUAUCAGAAGUGCGAAUGCUGACAUGAGUAACGACAAUGGGUGUGAAAAACACCCACGCCGAAAGACCAAGGGUUCCUGCGCAACGUUAAUCGACGCAGGGUUAGUCGGUUCCUAAGGCGAGGCUGAAAAGCGUAGUCGAUGGGAAACAGGUUAAUAUUCCUGUACUUCUGGUUACUGCGAUGGAGGGACGGAGAAGGCUAGGCCAGCUUGGCGUUGGUUGUCCAAGUUUAAGGUGGUAGGCUGAAAUCUUAGGUAAAUCCGGGGUUUCAAGGCCGAGAGCUGAUGACGAGUCGUCUUUUAGAUGACGAAGUGGUUGAUGCCAUGCUUCCAAGAAAAGCUUCUAAGCUUCAGGUAACCAGGAACCGUACCCCAAACCGACACAGGUGGUCGGGUAGAGAAUACCAAGGCGCUUGAGAGAACUCGGGUGAAGGAACUAGGCAAAAUGGCACCGUAACUUCGGGAGAAGGUGCGCCGGCUAGGGUGAAGGAUUUACUCCGUAAGCUCUGGCUGGUCGAAGAUACCAGGCCGCUGCGACUGUUUAUUAAAAACACAGCACUCUGCAAACACGAAAGUGGACGUAUAGGGUGUGACGCCUGCCCGGUGCCGGAAGGUUAAUUGAUGGGGUUAGCGCAAGCGAAGCUCUUGAUCGAAGCCCCGGUAAACGGCGGCCGUAACUAUAACGGUCCUAAGGUAGCGAAAUUCCUUGUCGGGUAAGUUCCGACCUGCACGAAUGGCGUAACGAUGGCGGCGCUGUCUCCACCCGAGACUCAGUGAAAUUGAAAUCGCUGUGAAGAUGCAGUGUAUCCGCGGCUAGACGGAAAGACCCCGUGAACCUUUACUGUAGCUUUGCACUGGACUUUGAGCCUGCUUGUGUAGGAUAGGUGGGAGGCUUUGAAGCGUGGACGCCAGUUCGCGUGGAGCCAUCCUUGAAAUACCACCCUGGCAUGCUUGAGGUUCUAACUCUGGUCCGUGAUCCGGAUCGAGGACAGUGUAUGGUGGGCAGUUUGACUGGGGCGGUCUCCUCCUAAAGAGUAACGGAGGAGUACGAAGGUGCGCUCAGACCGGUCGGAAAUCGGUCGCAGAGUAUAAAGGCAAAAGCGCGCUUGACUGCGAGACAGACACGUCGAGCAGGUACGAAAGUAGGUCUUAGUGAUCCGGUGGUUCUGUAUGGAAGGGCCAUCGCUCAACGGAUAAAAGGUACUCCGGGGAUAACAGGCUGAUACCGCCCAAGAGUUCAUAUCGACGGCGGUGUUUGGCACCUCGAUGUCGGCUCAUCACAUCCUGGGGCUGAAGCCGGUCCCAAGGGUAUGGCUGUUCGCCAUUUAAAGUGGUACGCGAGCUGGGUUUAGAACGUCGUGAGACAGUUCGGUCCCUAUCUGCCGUGGACGUUUGAGAUUUGAGAGGGGCUGCUCCUAGUACGAGAGGACCGGAGUGGACGAACCUCUGGUGUUCCGGUUGUCACGCCAGUGGCAUUGCCGGGUAGCUAUGUUCGGAAAAGAUAACCGCUGAAAGCAUCUAAGCGGGAAACUUGCCUCAAGAUGAGAUCUCACUGGGAACUUGAUUCCCCUGAAGGGCCGUCGAAGACUACGACGUUGAUAGGCUGGGUGUGUAAGCGUUGUGAGGCGUUGAGCUAACCAGUACUAAUUGCCCGUGAGGCUUGACCAU